rnacentral:rRNA from 1 species
AUUGAACGCUGGCGGCAGGCCUAAUACAUGCAAGUCGAGCGAGCGGCGGACGGGUGAGUAAUGUAUGGGGACUGCCCGAUAGCGGGGGAUAACUACUGGAAACGGUGGCUAAUACCGCAUACUAUCGGAUAACCCAUAUUGGAUUAGCUAGUAGGUGGGGUAAAGGCUCACCUAGGCGUCGAUUCCUGCCUGGUCUGCGAGGAUGAUCAGCCACACUGGGACUGGGACACGGCCCAGACUCCUACGGAGGCAACAGUGGGAAAUAUUGCACAAGGGGCGCAAUCGUGAUGCAGCCAUGCCGCGUGUAUGAAAAGGGCCUUAGGGUUGUAAAGUACUUUCAGCGGGAAGGCGUUACCCGCAGAAUAAGCACCGGCUAACUCCGUGCCAGCAGCCGCGGUAAUUC